UACGGAGGGGGCUAGCGUUGUUCGGAAUUACUGGGCGUAAAGCGCACGUAGGCGGUUUUGUAAGUCAGGGGUGAAAUCCCGGGGCUCAACCCCGGAACUGCCUUUGAUACUGCAAAUCUCGAGUCCGGAAGAGGUGAGUGGAAUUCCUAGUGUAGAGGUGAAAUUCGUAGAUAUUAGGAAGAACACCAGUGGCGAAGGCGGCUCACUGGUCCGGUACUGACGCUGAGGUGCGAAAGCGUGGGGAGCAAACAGG
rnacentral:rRNA from 1 species